CCCUUAGAUGUUCUGGGCCGCACGCGUGCUACACUGAGUAAAUCAAUGGGUAAGGGAACACGAAAGUGCAACCUAAUCUUGAAAUUUGCUCGUGAUGGGGAUCGACGGUUGCAAUUUUCCGUCGUGAACGAGGAAUACCUUGUAGGCGCGUGUCAUCAUCACGCGCUGAAUACGUCCCUGCCCUUUGUACACACCGCCCGUCGCUCCUACCGAUUGAGUGGUCCGGUGAGGCUUUGGGAUCUGAGCGGAAAGAGCGUUUCGCUGUUUCUGCUCGGAAAACUCAGUCGAACCUUAUCAUUUAGAGGAAGGAGAAGUCGUAACA
rnacentral:rRNA from 1 species